GACGAACGCUGGCGGCGUGCUUAACACAUGCAAGUCGAACGGUGAAAGCGGAGCUUGCUCCGCUGGAUCAGUGGCGAACGGGUGAGUAACACAUGGGCAACCUGCCCCUCACUUCGGGAUAACUCCGGGAAACCGGGGCUAAUACCGGAUAUGACCUCCUUGGGCAUCCUUGGAGGUGGAAAGUUUUUCGGUGAGGGAUGGGCCCGCGGCCUAUCAGCUUGUUGGUGAGGUAGUGGCUCACCAAGGCGACGACGGGUAGCCGGCCUGAGAGGGCGACCGGCCACACUGGGACUGAGACACGGCCCAGACUCCUACGGGAGGCAGCAGUGGGGAAUAUUGCGCAAUGGGCGAAAGCCUGACGCAGCAACGCCGCGUGCGGGAUGACGGCCUUCGGGUUGUAAACCGCUUUCAGCAGGGAAGAAGCCGCAAGGUGACGGUACCUGCAGAAGAAGCACCGGCUAACUACGUGCCAGCCGCCGUAAAAC
rnacentral:rRNA from 1 species